CACAAACAGGCAUUUCCGGGCCUUGGCGCCCCAUCUCGAAAAAGACGGCCUGCGGGACUUUCCCCGGGAACCAUGGCUACCUACAGCCUGGCGAACGAGCGGCUGCGCGCCCUGGAGGACAUCGAGCGCGAAAUCGGCGCCAUCCUCCAGAACGCAGGAACGGCGAUCCUGGAACUGUCCAAGGAAAAAACCAACGAGCGGCUUCUGGACCGGCAGGCGGCAGCCUUCACCGCUUCUGUGCAGCACGUGGAGGCGGAGCUUUCGGCUCAGAUCCGCUACCUAACCCAGGUGGCCACAGGGCAGCCCCACGAGGGCUCCAGCUACUCUUCCAGGAAGGAUUGUCAAAUGGCACUAAAGCGAGUGGACUAUGCCCGCCUCAAGAUCAGUGAUGUGGCACGCACCUGUGAACAGAUGCUGGAGAACUAAGUCAAGAUGAUGCAGAGUGUGACCUGCACCCUGGGACAGAAGCCAGAGACUGGCUCUGGAGUCUUGGUUCACAAGUGUAUAAUGGAGCUGCAGAUCUGGAAAGAAUAAAGAAAUUGGGAGGUGAACUCUGAGAUGAAGCAGAACUGAGGCAGGACAUGAACUGAAUGGAAAGUCAGACUCCUCGACAUUAAAUAACCUAAAGACCUAGUCCAUGCUGGCUGACUUCCCUCCCGGCCCAUGGUGCCGACAGCCUUACUAUCUGGUGGACCCUUGCCAGGAAGGCUCUAGUCCCCGAGGUGAGGUUUAGGAGUCUCACGUACCUGCAGAGCUUUGCCGCCCCGCUCUCCUCCUGUUGCACAGAAUGUACACUAUGGCUGCUGUGAGAAGAAAAACAAUGGCCAGGAGAGACAGCACUGGUGCCGCGGCUGGUAGGCCAGCGGAAGCUCCUGGCGUUCCUUCUUGCAGGUUGCCCUCCGACCGGUUUUUAUUGGCCUCAGCCUCAGGUCCAGCUUCGGGAUCAUAGCCUGACGUGAGAGCCGUGGUUUCAUAGCCUGACGUGAGGGCAGUGGAUUCGCUGUGGUGGGUGAGCUCUUUGUUCAAGGACAGUGUUCCAGGUGGAAAAGUGGACUGCUGGGUACUCUGAAUCGGUGCAGGGGUGCUUGUGUCUGGAGGUGUCCCCUCUGUGGCCACUGGGAUCCAGGUGCUAGCAUGAGGCAAAUGCUCCUGGUGGUGGAAACUCUUCCUGUGACCAUUUCCACACUCUGGAGAAAAAACAAAUAAAGGAUCAGGGCUACUG